rnacentral:rRNA from 1 species
UACGGAGGGGGCAAGCGUUGUUCGGAAUCAUUGGGCGUAAAGAGUAUGUAGGCGGCUAUUUAAGUCAGACGUGUAAGCCCACGGCUCAACCGUGGAAUUGCGUUUGAAACUAUUUAGCUUGAGUGCAGGAGAGGAAGGCGGAAUUCCCAGUGUAGCGGUGAAAUGCAUUGAUAUUGGGAAGAACACCGGUGGCGAAGGCGGCCUUCUGGUCUGACACUGACGCUGAGAUACGAAAGCCAGGGGAGCGAACGGG